AUUGAACGCUGGCGGCAUGCCUUACACAUGCAAGUCGAACGGCAGCACAGGUGCUUGCACCUGGUGGCGAGUGGCGAACGGGUGAGUAAUACAUCGGAACAUGUCCUGUAGUGGGGGAUAGCCCGGCGAAAGCCGGAUUAAUACCGCAUACGAUCUACGGAUGAAAGCGGGGGACCUUCGGGCCUCGCGCUAUAGGGUUGGCCGAUGGCUGAUUAGCUAGUUGGUGGGGUAAAGGCCUACCAAGGCGACGAUCAGUAGCUGGCCUGAGAGGACGACCAGCCACACUGGGACUGAGACACGGCCCAGACUCCUACGGGAGGCAGCAGUGGGGAAUUUUGGACAAUGGGCGAAAGCCUGAUCCAGCAAUGCCGCGUGUGUGAAGAAGGCCUUCGGGUUGUAAAGCACUUUUGUCCGGAAAGAAAUCCUUGGCCCUAAUACGGUCGGGGGAUGACGGUACCGGAAGAAUAAGCACCGGCUAACUACGUG
rnacentral:rRNA from 1 species